rnacentral:rRNA from 1 species
GGGCAGUAAGGCAUGGAUAAUCUACCCUGAUGACCGGGAUAGCUGUCCCAACGGGCAGGUAAUACCGGAUGAGCUGGUGGGGCCGCAUGGUUCUGCCAGGAAAGGCGCAAGCCGUGUCGGGAGGAAUCCAUGUGAUAUUAGCUAGUUGGUGAGGUAACGGCUCACCAGAGAAAAGAUGUCUAGCGGGUGUGAGAGCACGACCCGCGCCAUUUUUCCUGAGACACUGGACUGACUCCUACGG